CUGAGCAGGAAGGAGAGAGGAGGAAAGUGAAAGUGUUUCUGAACAGAGAAUGUCUGCAUUAGUUUCUUCCCUACAGAAGGCUCGACGUUUGUAGUUGUAUUUGAUGUAUUGAGUGUGUUUUGUCUUCAGUCAGCUGGAUCAGCCCACCGAGCGUCAAGGAGGAACAAAGGUCCGCGUUGCUAUGGUGACCAGCAGUCUGCACAUCAGUCUCCAAGGUUAAAGGCUUGACCAACGUUUAACUGACCUGUCCAGGAAGACCUUUCACAGAGGAAUCAAAAGAACACAAUGGAGGAGAGAGAAAAAAUCAUAGAAGAAAGAGAGAAGCUUCUGAAUCAGAAAGAAAUUAAUUUUCUAGAAAGAGAAAAGCAUCUGGAUGGGAAAGAGAGCCGGUUAUUAGAGAUGGAAAAGCGUUUGGAUGGGAGAGAUACUCGUUUGGAUGAGAGAGAAAAGCGCCUGGACGGAAGAGAUAUUCGUUUGGAUGAGAGAGAAAAGCGCCUGGAAAGAAGAGAGGGACAGACAGACCCAAGACAACAUGUCUUGUCUAGGAGAAGUCAUUGGGGGUUCCUAGGGUCUUUCCUGCCCAUGGGAGAAAGUUUUCCAAUUAUCCCACCCCCCAUAAAAAGAAGAGGAAGCAUUGCUGAACCUCUAAACUUGGGAAAAGAAAAAAGCCCACCAAAGCCAGACAAACCUGCAACUGAACCUGACCCUGUUGUCGUGAGCUGAGUUCAAUGUGGAAGUUCAGCCUAGAGAUUCUGGAGAUGACACCAACCAGAAAUCACAUUGGAAGCCUUUAGCACAAUUGCAGUUUUCCCAUUUUCAUGUUUUUAUUGACAGUUUAUCUUGCAGAGAUAAAGAUCAAGAUUUGUCCCACAUAAUGAGUCUCAUAAAAUUACAAAGGAACAUAUGCACCCUUUAGGUCUUCUGGGCACCACCAUCCCAUCAAAUCUAAUAAGAGGUUUUUGUAAAAUUACCUUUAAAAAGUAACAAUGAAAAGCUAAAGACAAAUGAAAAAAAAACCCUCACAGAAUAACCCACAAUUUCCUUCAGUCAAACCAGAAAAGUUGGCAUAUAUGGAUACUGGUUCCAAAAAUGUCAACUAUUUCGCCUCCGUUUUGUUAUCCUAUUUGUAGGAUCAGUGGUUGUGAUUAUGUUUGUGUGACUAAGUUUUCAGGUGUCUGAAAUUGAUCUGAUCAUUCGGCUCAGUUGGAACCUGUUUGGGAAGCUAAUUGGCCAUCGCCUCCCUUCUCACAUUGCACUUCAAACAUCAAUCAAAGAAGCUGAAAUGCAGCCCAAUCAUGAAAUUCAACCAGUUAUGAAUAAAUUGGGCUUGAAAUCACAGCAUCAAUAUGCUUUUAUCUCUGUGCUCUGGUUAAAGUACACAUGACCUGGACAAAUCAUGUAAAGUAACAUUUUGAAUAAUAUACAAGAAAUGACCAUCGGGAAUCACAUGUAUUAUCUUGCUAUCUUAGCUUUCUGUUACUAGCAGUGUGUAGUGCUGUAUUAAGCUUAAUGUCACCAUAAAAUAUGAAAAAUAUUGAAUAAACACUCUUUGCAUG
ensembl:lncRNA